AUUCUCUACCUCAAAAUGAAAUGGCUAGUAUAUUUACCAGCCACAAAUCCAUUAACAGUGCAUUAGCUAUUUAACACAAUCCAAAAAUCAAGACUUUGAUUCUAGCUACACCCAAAACCUAUUGUUGUCCAAGUUCUAAAAGAAUUAAAUUCACAAUAAAGUAAUUAAAUUAUUCACAUUAAAGAUCCAAUAACAGACCCAAAUAAACACAUGGAAAAGGUCAGAUGGCAAACGAAAAUUUAAACAAGAGAACACUAAGGAAUUCAAAUAGCAAAGGUAAGAAUAAACCUUAAUAUUCAGUAAAUAAAAUUCUUCAGCAGAUGAAAACACGAAGCUUCCGACAUCAACAAAAUAUAUGAAUUCCAUAGAUUACAACUCCAAUAAAUAGCUCCAACAAGAUCUGCGACAUGAACACUCGAAAGACGACCUCGACUCUCUUUGUGGUGAUUUAAGAUCUGAUUGGAGUUGGUUCUUGGACUGGUUUACAGCUGAGCUUAAGCUCUGUUUCGCCUGUUUCCAUGGAGUUUCAAGGCUAUUUUGUGGCUAAUUUAAGAUCUGAUUGGAGUUGGUUCUUGGUCUGAUUUACAGCUAAGCUGGAGCUUUGUUUCGCCUGUUUCCAUGGAGUUUCAAGGCUAUUUUAUGGCUUAUUUUGCUUGGUUUUAGGUUGGAAAAGAGAGCUGGUUUUGAAUGAUUUUGGUCGAAUUAGAGGGUUGUUUUUUGUUGCCUUUUGGGGCUGUUCCGGGAAUGGUUUUUGAGCUAUUUUUGUAGUAGCUUCAAGCUACAUCUUUGGGAGAAGACAAGGUAGUUUAUGGGGUGAAGUUUGGAGUGUUCAAUCGAGCUUUUUGUUUGUGCUUCAAUGAGCUCCCGUGGUGAAAAACAGGAAGAAGAAAAACUGUCAAGAUGGUGAAGUAAACCAAAAGCCGCGCAGCUUUCUUCAGGCCUCCAUUUUGUGUGUAUAGGCAUGUGUAUAUCUCUUGUGUAUCUAUCUGUAUAUGUAUGUUACGGUUUUUAGGUGGGGAAAUGGGUUUGGGUAUUGAGUUGGGUCGGGUCGAUCAGAUUUCAUGUUUACAAAAUUUUGUUGAAAAAUACAAAUAAUGUUUAUGAAACUUUUAUUACAUCAAUGAAUUUCAUUUAAAUACAGAAUUCUAAGAUUUGAACAAGUUGGCAGGUUCCCUAUUCCAUUGUUUCUCAAAACUCAGAACUUCAGCAACACCUUAAGCACUAAAUUCAGCAGUAUUAGACACAAAAAUUUUCAUCUCAAAAUGACCCCUUUAACAGUAGAAACAAAGCAUUGGAAUCACAGCAAUAUUAAGUCAGAAUAACCACAAAGUAAAGUUAAAUAGUGCAGGAUCUGCUUAAAAAAAUUGCUCAAAACUUGCAAGUCAAUAAUGUAUUGUUGGCAUAUAAACUGAAGAAAAGCAGUUGAGCUAACCGAAGCUGAAACUUUUGCAAAAUUCCCUCAACUAUUAAGAAAAACAAUAGUAACAACAAUCAAUUAAAGAAAUGUGUAAAUCUUCAUUGUUGAGCGAAAAACGGACAAUGUAGGACUGUGAACAAAAAGUAUGAAAUCAUAUAGAGUAACAUAAAACAAGCAGAAAAUUAUUUUCCAGCAAACCUGCAACUUAACCAACUAGACAAUAGUUUAUGUAAGAAAAGCACUUAAUUCAGCCAGGAGAACAUUCUAGAAGUAAAAACUAGAUUUCAAGCUAUCACUGCUAAACUCGAGCACAAUCUCAACGAACACAAAUUUCGGCAGAUUAAGCUUACCGUAUGCUCAACCAAAUCACAAUUCAAGCUGCUCAAUCUCUAGUCUAACUGAAUCCCCUCUAUUAAACUCAAUGACAACAACAACUAUUAGAAACCAAUGGUAACAAGGUUUAAGUUAGGAGAAAUUCAGCUAUCAAUUUACUCCAGAAACUUUUCCAUAAAUAGUGAAAAAGUUUCAACAAACAAGCUUCAGAACUUUGCAAUCAUAGCACAAAGAUAACUAGUGUACAAUGCAUGAUUUACUUUCAAACAUGGCCCCACCAAUGAUUCAUAGAUUGAAUUAAAAUCACAAAAUAAUGCUCCAACAAAUUAAGACUAAUCUCAUCAGAAAUUUCAUCAGCAUAAAAGAAGUUUGACAAGGGAAUUCCAACUUGAACUCUAAGAAUUUCCAUAGUAGAGUCCAUUGAUACAACUCAAUUCACACAAUUUUCAAACAAACAACUUCUGAAUUCUAAAACUAACCUAUGUGGCUAAAAGUGGCUAGAAGUGCAAAAUUUGGCUAUGACCCUGCAAAGCCAAGAACCUAAGAUUUACUAGGAAGACCGGAUUCGAUGUGGGUUGCCUACAUAUCACGCCCCGAAAGACGAGAAUCAGGUUUGCGUAGUUCGGGAAAAUUGGAUACGGGCAAGAAAUAAAAAAACAGCUAAUUUUUGAAGAAAACAUUUUCUUUUGUCUCUUUUUUUUUUAAAAAAUGAUAAAUAUGUAAACUCUUUUGGAUUUUUUUUCUUUUUAUUCGAUUUUCAGGAAAUGAUGAAAAAUAGUAAAAUACUUUUUUCAAUUUUUCACAUAUCUUUUAUCUCUUAUUUUAAUAAAAACAUAACAAACAUAACUUGACCCUACUUGCUUUAUUUUCACACUUCACCCUCUUUUCUUUUUAUUAUUUUUCUUUUUUUCUCAUUUUUUUUUACUCUCAGCUAUCAUUGGUCCGCCAAAUGACCCUUUCACUCUUGAAAAAAUGCAACAUGUUGUAUAUAAAAUGCAUCAGGAUGGUCUUUUUAAUUGGGUGCACAUGUCCUAGACAGGCCCUAUCAUGUGUUGAGUCCCCUAAGUUAAAUACAUUAUGCAAAUAAGUGACUCCCCAUGAUUCUGAUGCAGAGUAUGUUCCUAUCCACUAAGUAAGUAAAUAACUAUCAAGAACAGAAAUAAUCUUUUACUUUGGUUAAAGGCCCUUUUACUGAGAAAGGAGAAUAGGAAUGAAAUAAAAUAGAAAUAAAAAGAAAAGAAUCUAAUUGCAAAAGAAAAAAGGGGGGAUGUCUUUUUUUUUCUUACUUUUUUCUUUUUUUGUUUUUAUUCUUUCUUUCCUAUAAUUCCAAAAAGCAAAAGGAGGGGAUGUCUUCUUUUUUUCUUACUUUUUUCUUUUUUUGUUAUUAAUCUUUCUUUCCUAUAAUUCCAUUUUGAUUUCUAGUUCGAGAGAGAAAUUUUUUGUCAUGAUUCAUGAACUAAUGGACUUUCUAAUUUUUUUCUUAAUUAAAAAUUCGAGGUUAAAAUGUAUAUGUGAUAUUGCUAUAAAGUGCAUUUUAUUUUACUAGGGAUCAGGCAUGAGGUCAAGUUAUUCUAAGUUCAAAAACCUAAGUAUGUGUUCCAGACAGUGUACCCGAGCGGACAACUCGAGUCGAGGAGGGGGCUACGUACCGGAAACCAAAAGGUCAUCUGACUUAGCAACUUGUCCUGCCUCUUUCAUAUUUCAGGGUAUGACACUAACAGAAUAGGGAGUCUCAACUAAUAAGCACAUCCCCGGAGGUGAGGAGAGAAAGAUUUCGUAGCAGUUUAUAUGUACAGUUCAGAUAAUAUCAAAGCGGUAAAAGCAUCAUUUUGCACACUAAGCCAACAUGUAAAGAUUAGAUAAUAAACAAAGCCAAAUACAACAAUUAUUUUAAGCUCGAGUUCUUGAACCCUGAACCAGAUAUUCUUGGUUCGAUCCUCAGCAGAGUCGCCAGAGCUGUCACACCUCCUUUUGGCUACCACAACCCGGUGAAAGGAGUAGAUAAGAGAGUUCUUCCAAUUAAAGGACAAUCAAUACGUGAUUCAAUUAUAUAAGAGAAUUUCAGAGUCCCCACUUGGGAGAUUUAUCGUGUCCCAAGUCAUCGUUUAGAAUCCCGAAUCGAGAAAAGAAUGACUCUGUUUAACAGUCCGCGAAUAAGAAAUUCGGGCAAGGAAUUCUGUUAACCCGGAAGAAGGUGUUAGCAUUCCCGAGUUCCGUGGUUCUAGCACGGUCGAUCAACCGUUAUAUUUGGCUUAAAUUAUCUAAAAAAAUUUUACAAUUAUGAACCUACGUGCAUUUUUUAAUCUUUUAACCACCUUUAUUAUUUUUCUUAAAGAGAAUUGCAACGUCGUUAAAACAUAUAUUGAACCACGUCACAUAUAUGCACCCGUGGUUUUUGACACAUUUCAACUUUGCUGGGAUUUGAAUUUAAGUCACAUAAAUGUGCACCCGAAUUUAAAAAAUUUAAUUUAAGUACGCGUCUGAAGCAACUAGGUCUUUAUUUAUUUUCCAAAUCUUUAAGAUUGUUGUAAAGAUCUAAGAGUUAUUAAAACUAUUGUAGACAGAAAUAUGAUUCGAUCCUUUGGGAAGAAUUCAUCACAAGAAUGGAGAAGAAUAUGUUGGACUCAUAGGUGUUACUUAUCCUGGCUCAGAUCUUUAUAAAUUCAAACUAACCUCACAUGCCAAACCAUUUUUUACUAUGCUCACGCCUAUUUUUAUACUCUAUCAGUAGAUACAAUUCCAGUUCUCCUUAACUAAAUUCAAAUUGCUUUAAUUUUAGACCCCACAGAUUCUAGCUACACCCAAAACCAAUUGUUGUCCAACUUUUAAAAGAAUUAAAUUCACAACAAAGUAUUUAAAAUAUUCACAUUAAAGAUCCAAUAACAGACCAAAAUAAACACAUGGAAAAGGUCAGAUGGCAAACGAAAAUUUAAACAAGAGAACACUAAGGAAUUCAAAUAGCAAAGGUAAGAAUAAACCUUAAUAUUCAGUAAAUAAAAUUCUUCAGCAGAUGAAAACACGAAGCUUCCGACAUCAACAAAAUAUAUGAAUUCCAAAGAUUACAACUCCAAUAAAUAGCUCCAACAAGAUCUGCGACAUGAACACUCGAAAGACGACCUCUUCAGUAGAUGAAAACACGAAGCUUCCGACAUCAACAAAAUAUAUGAAUUCCAAAGGUUACAACUCCAAUAAAUAGCUCCAACAAGAUCUGCGACAUGAACACUCGAAAGACGACCUCGACUCUCUUUGUGGUGAUUUAAGAUCUGAUUGGAGUUGGUUCUUGGACUGGUUUACAGCUGAGCUUAAGCUCUGUUUCGCCUGUUUCCAUGGAGUUUCAAGGCUAUUUUAUGGCUUAUUUUGCUGGGUUUUAGGUUGGAAAAUAGAGCUGGUUUUGAAUGAUUUUGGUCGAAUUAGAGGGUUGUUUUUGGUUGCGUUUUGGGGGUGUUCCAGGAAUGAUUUUUGAGUUGAUUUUGCAGUCGCUUCAAGCUAUAUCAUUGGGAGAAGACAAGGUGGUUUAUGGGGUUAAGUUUGGAGUGUUUAAUGCAGCUUUUUAUUUGUGUUUCAAUGAGCUCCCAUGGUGAAAAGGCUGCGUUUUGGGGUUGUUACAGGAAUGAUUUUUGAGUUGUUUUUGCAGUAGCUUCAAGCUAUAUCUCUGGGAGAAGACAAGGUGGUUUAUGGGGUGAAGUUUGGAUUGUUUAAUGGAGCUUUUUAUUUGUGUUUCAAUGAGCUCCCAUGGUGAAAACGGGAAGAAGAAAAACUGUCGAGAUGGUGAAGAAAACCAAUAGCUGCGUAGCUUCUUCAAGCCUCCCUUUUGUGUGUAUAGGCGUGUGUUUAUCUCUUGUGUAUCUAUCCGUAUAUGUGUGUUAGGGUUUGUAGGUGGGGAAUGGGUUUGGGUAUUGGGUUGGGUCGGGUCGAUCCGGUUUGGGUUUGGGUAGGGGCUAAUUUGGGUAGGGUUUAAAAGAGAAAUUGUAUUGGACUUGAAUUUUAAUAGAA
rnacentral:lncRNA from 1 species